GUCUCUGUGGUGCAAUCGGUUAGCGCAUUCGACUGUUAACCGGGAAGUUGGUGGUUCGAGCUCACCCAGGGAUG
rnacentral:tRNA from 1 species